rnacentral:rRNA from 1 species
GAGUUUGAUCAUGGCUCAGGAUUAACGCUGGCGGCAUGCCUAAUACAUGCAAGUCGAACGGAGUAGCAAUACUUAGUGGCGAACGGGUGAGUAACACGUAUCUAAUCUACCAUUUAGUGGGGAAUAACUGUUGGAAACGACAGCUAAUACCGCAUAAUAUUGCUGGAUAAUUUCCAGUAAUGAAAGGAGCUUUCAAGCUCCGCUGAUUGAUGAGGAUGCGGCGCAUUAGCUAGUUGGUAGGGUAAUGGCCUACCAAGGCAAUGAUGCGUAGCCGAUCUGAGAGGAUGAACGGCCACAUUGGGACUGAGACACGGCCCAAACUUCUACGGAAGGCAGCAGUAGGGAAUUUUUCACAAUGGGCGAAAGCCUGAUGGAGCGAUGCCGCGUGACUGAUGAAGGUCUUCGGAUUGUAAAGGUCUGUUGUAAGGGAAGAAAUGGUAAAACAGGAAAUGGUUUUAUCUAUGACGGUACCUUACCAGAAAGCCACGGCUAACUAUGUGCCAGCAGCCGCGGUAAUACAUAGGUGGCAAGCGUUAUCCGGAUUUAUUGGGCGUAAAGGGUGCGUAGGCGGUUUUGCAAGUCUGAGGUUAAAUUUAGGAGCUCAACUCCUAAUCGCCUUGGAAACUACAAGACUAGAGUAUAGGAGAGGUAAGUGGAAUUCCAUGUGUAGCGGUGGAAUGUGUAGAUAUAUGGAGGAACACCAGUGGCGAA